rnacentral:rRNA from 1 species
GACGAACGCUGGCGGCGUGCCUAAUACAUGCCAGUAGAACGCUGAAGGAGGAGCUUGCUUCUCUGGAUGAGUUGCGAACGGGUGAGUAACGCGUAGGUAACCUGCCUGGUAGCGGGGGAUAACUAUUGGAAACGAUAGCUAAUACCGCAUAAUAGCAGUUGUUGCAUGAUAACUGUUUGAAAGGUGCAAUUGCAUCACUACCAGAUGGACCUGCGUUGUAUUAGCUAGUUGGUGGGGUAACGGCUCACCAAGGCGACGAUACAUAGCCGACCUGAGAGGGUGAUCGGCCACACUGGGACUGAGACACGGCCCAGACUCCUACGGGAGGCAGCAGUAGGGAAUCUUCGGCAAUGGACGGAAGUCUGACCGAGCAACGCCGCGUGAGUGAAGAAGGUUUUCGGAUCGUAAAGCUCUGUUGUAAGAGAAGAACGAGUGUGAGAGUGGAAAGUUCACACUGUGACGGUAUCUUACCAGAAAGGGACGGCUAACUACGUG